ACAUAACAGCUGAGAUCUCAGCCUGGGUUUACCAUCACUGUUCCCAGGUGUUUAAACAGUUGCAGUGGUCUGGCAAAUUGACCACAGGGGCUGAAUACCACAAGAAAUGAUCUGAGACAGUUGUCGAGCCUGAAAAGUUUUUAAAAAGAAAUCAACAAAACCACAGGAUCUUUAGGUAGCAAGGAUGGUCCCUCUCGAGUCUCAUCAAGGUACUCAAUGAUGGCAUUCUACAGGAGAGAAAAUU